AAUCCCCUCAACACCCAAACGACGCCCACCCCCCGUCUUCGUCUCUGCCUCGCUCAAAAAUCGCCAAAACUCGUCUGAGUUUCAGGCGAGUUCACUUCUAAACCCGCACAUGGUCAUCUCGUCUCUAUCCUUUCUUCCACGUCACCAAUCCUAACGGCCUCUGACAGAAGGAAUAUUCUCAAUACUCGCAUCCCUCUUUCACUCGCUUCGUACUAACCAAAAUCACGCGUCGAGCUCUCUAGAAGGCAUGUGCUGGACAGAUAGGAGCCUUAGGAUUGAUUUAAGGUUAAUCCUAUCCCUCUAUCUUUUCAGAAUGUGUCUAUAAAAAAGAGGAUUUGAUUCGGAAAAGGGGAGAUUCUUCAGAGGUGAGGGGAUUCGUUUUAGGAGGAAAAAUCGAAAAGGAGUUUUUUUUCUUAGGUAAUCUGAUUUAUCUUGAACCGGUUUUUUGAGUUUAGUUUUUUAGGCUUGUUUUCUGAUUUCCCCAAAAACAAAAAGAAACACAAGAUAUAUGUAUUUGAUUUUUUUUGACAAUGGAAUUCGAUUGAGGUUUUUUUUGAGUUAAUCGGAGAGCAAGUUUCGUUUGCCGGUCAAAGGUGUGUUCGCGAGUCUGUUCGAUUUCUGCGGUGACUUCACGAUUUGGAGUUCAUUGUUGAGUUUCUACUCAUUUGUUUCCGCCAAUUCCAUUAAAAGUAAUUUUCACCAACAGUUCUGUUUAAUGUCUGAGGCGUGUACAGCCAUUUCAAUCAGCCUUGUCUGAAUCGUAAUAUGAGAUGGAUUUGUUUAAGUGUGCACCUGCAGUAUUUCUGUUAAGUUUUCUUUAGUUUGUUGAAUUUUAAGUGAAAGUUUUGCUCAUGAGCUGAUCCUGUCCCAGUUCAGGAAUUCAUUACGGGUACUGUUGACUUGUACUCCCUUAUUCUGUUAAGUUUUGGAACUGUUACCUUGGAUUCAUUUUGAUCCUAAACUCAGUUUAAAUCUGUCCGAAAUUCUGUCUCUGUUUAACAUUUGAAAUUAUGAGAACAUUAAAGCAAGAACUUGGUAUCUACUGAUGUUUGCCUUAUCCCCUGUUGUCGUGUACCGAACUGUGUGUGUAUUACUGACUUAAGGAUCCAUUUAAGUCCCUUGCAUGCUCAUUCUGCUGUACUUAGCAUAAGCCAUAAGGUUCAGGGGUUGGUUAAUGGUUCAGGAGACCAUCAAGCUGUAUGGAAAUGUGCAGUCGACCCAGAAUGGCCUUUGCUGUUAGCCGUGAUGUUUCUGUUUGAGAAUUCAGCACAUAAUUAGUCAAUGGUUGUGUUAAAGGCCGACUUCGAUUUGAUUUGUUAAAACAUCUUAAUGGUAAUCAGUUUAUUGGAGGUUUUCUUUGUAUUGAUUAUAGACUAAUACCUAUGCUGGAUUAUAAAAGGCUGUUACAUUGCGAUUCAAUUACUGCGUUUCUGCCUCUUUUGAUAGUCGAGUGAGUCUUGAUAUCAAGGGGGCAGUAUUUUUACACUAGAUUGAGAACGUCUGUCCAUUUGGUGACGCUUAAGUUGAUUAACUUAUCUGUUUGAAAUUACCUGAUGUUUCAUGCCUCAUUUCUUUGUUGAUUGAGUGAUGCGAUUCGCCUUGAUGAAUUUAAAACAACUGAUUCCCUGCUUUUAGUCAUGUGAGCUCGUUCUAUUGGCCUAAUCAAGUGUAAACGUGAAUGAGUGAACAUUGGUUGGCUGAAUUGCAUUUAGGACAGUUGUAAUAUGUUAGGUUGUGUUUUAUCUACUUAGACAACAACCCUUAUAUCCUUUGCAAUGAAAUUUUAUUGUAAUACUAGAGUUUUAGUGAAUUGGACAAUAAUGUUGUAUUUGCUCAAAAAUGUUUUCUUGUUGCAAUGUGUGUAUAAGAGAAUUAUGAUUUACUGCAUUUAAAUAGA